rnacentral:rRNA from 1 species
CCUACGGGUGGCAGCAGUGGGGAAUAUUGCGCAAUGGGCGAAAGCCUGACGCAGCGACGCCGCGUGAGGGAUGAAGGUCUUCGGAUCGUAAACCUCUGUCAGCAGGGAAGAACGGUCACUGUGCUAAUCAGCAGUGAAUUGACGGUACCUGCAAAGGAAGCACCGGCUAACUCCGUGCCAGCAGCCGCGGUAAUACGGCGGGUGCGAGCGUUAAUCGGAAUUACUGGGCGUAAAGCGCUCGUAGGCGGUAUGUCAAGUCAAGGGUGAAAUCCCCGCGCUCAACGUGGGAACUGCCUUUGAAACUGGCAAACGGGAGUGUGUGAGAGGAUAGUGGAAUUCCAGGUGUAGGAGUGAAAUCCGUAGAUAUCACACAGAACACCGAUUGCGAAGGCAUCUCACGAAUCCGCGAUUGACGCUGAUGCACGAAAGCGUGGGUAUCAAACAGGAUUAGAUACCCCUGUAGUC